GACGAACGCUGGCGGCGUGCCUAAUACAUGCAAGUAGAACGCUGAAGGAGAGGGAGCUUGCUCUUCUUGGAUGAGUUGCGAACGGGUGAGUAACGCGUAGGUAACCUGCCUUGUAGCGGGGGAUAACUAUUGGAAACGAUAGCUAAUACCGCAUAACAAUGGAUGACACAUGUCAUUUAUUUGAAAGGGGCAAUUGCUCCACUACAAGAUGGACCUGCGUUGAUUAGCUAGUAGGUGAGGUAAUGGCUCACCUAGGCGACGAUACAUAGCCGACCUGAGAGGGUGAUCGGCCACACUGGGACUGAGACACGGCCCAG
rnacentral:rRNA from 1 species